rnacentral:rRNA from 1 species
UACAGAGGUCCCAAGCGUUGUUCGGAUUCACUGGGCGUAAAGGGUGCGCAGGUGGGCUGGUAAGUUCGAUGUGAAAGCCCCGGGCCUAACCCGGGAAUGGCAUUGGAUACUACUGGUCUGGAGGGUCGGAGGGGGGACUGGAAUUCUUGGUGUAGCAGUGAAAUGCGUAGAUAUCAAGAGGAACACCAGUGGCGAAGGCGAGUCCCUGGACGAUACCUGACACUGAGGCACGAAAGCCAAGGGAGCAAACAGG